UUUUGUUUCUCCCUCUAGAUCCGAAUGCUUUUGCUGGAAAGACCGGACCUGAUCACGCUCUUAUAGGAGGAAUAGUGGCUGUAGUUGUCUUUGUAACGCUAUGUUCUAUAAUUCUGCUUGGUCGAUAUCUGGCAAGACAUAAAGGAACUUAUUUAACAAAUGAAGCAAAAGGAGCUGAAGAUGCACCGGAUGCCGACACAGCCAUUAUCAAUGCAGAAGGCAGUCAAGUCAAUGCAGAGGAGAAAAAGGAGUAUUUCAUUUAGAUGCAGAGCUAGAAUCUUGGAGUUUUACUAUCAGGUUGACUGCUGGAGAAAACUGGCUAUCAUUUUUCAGAAUUCAUUUCUGCCAUCUUCUGCUAUCUUUAUUAACCCACAUACCUGCUAUAAGUAGCCAGUUUAUGCCAACAAUCAGCUUUUGACAAUAUCAUUCUAUAAUUACAGUAUCAUACAUAAAGCAGGACAUUUCUUAUUGCCUAAAUUCAUAUCCACUGCUCUCUUAACAUACAGUGCUUGAAUAUACAGCCUUAACAAUGUUAAUCAUCAUCGUAAUCCAAGUUUUCUACAUUUUAAAUGUAUGCAGCUUUAUUACUCUUCUGUUUUCUUUUAUCAUGCUCCAUAUCAGUAUGUCAUAGAAUAUUCAUAACAAAUGCUAUUAGAUAAGGACUUAAUUUACUUACGUAAAAAAAAGAUAAGUCUAAGACUAGAGGUUUACAAAGAAUGUUUUAUACAUGUCUAUAAUUCAAAAAGCAACUUGUUUUGAGACAUAUGCCCUAGGAAAACAUAACUGGAAGUUUCUUAGUAUAGUUUCUUGUAUGCUUGAGUUUGUUAGAAAAGAAGUAUCCGUCAGCUGUUUUUUUUUUUUUUUUUCGUUUUGUUUUGCUUUAUUUUGUUCUAUUUUGAAUGGUACCUUGACAACAGUGCCAUGUUUCAGUGGUAUAAAAAAAACGUAUUAAAUAGCUAUACAGAUUCUGCAAAGUUAGAUAGUAGUGCUUCAUUUGAAAUAAAUUUGUCCUGCCCUUUAUUGCAUUUUUGGGAUCACAAAGGAUUAGGAGUCUUUUUUGAGUAAUUUCUGUUUUUAUAAUUUAUUUGCUUCACAUGGACUCACCUGUCUACUCAAAUUUGAAGUGUUCAUGGGACACAACUGCAAAGCAUUUUAGUAUCUGUAUAUAGUGCAUAUAAUAAAUUCAAUUAAACAUUAUUUGAUACAUAUUUAACUUUUUUUGGCAGUAGCUAAGUCAGUCACAAGUGAGCAUUUUCUAAUGUCCAUUAUAUCCUUUUAGAUAUGACUCAAAUCAAUAUUCUGAGUAGAAAACAUGUAUUAGUAUUUUUUUUGUCUGUAUGUCCUAGCACUGUUCAGCAGCAAACUUUUCUAGUUCUUGUUUUUUCUUUGUUAUACAAUGGAAGCACAAUGUUAUAUGGAAAGGUAGUUUUAAGCUAACAACCAGUGCACAGCCUCAGGUUUUAAAUUACAACCACAUUUGAUUACUAUCCUUAGAAAAUGUUGUUGUUAAGUUGCUAAAAUUCUCAAUUUUUAAUUUGGCAGUUCCAGAGCUGCUUCUCUAUGUUGGUUUGCCAAAAAAAAAGAAAAAAAAAAAAAAGAAAAAAAAAGAGAAAAAAAUAGAAGUGUUAAAA